CAGUCGCCGCGGUAAUACGAGGGGAGCUAGCGUUAUUCGGAAUUACUGGGCGUAAAGCGCACGUAGGCGGCUUUGUAAGUUAGAGGUGAAAGCCCAGAGCUCAACUCUGGAAUUGCCUUAAGACUGCAUCGCUUGAAUCCAAGAGAGGUGAGUGGAAUUCCGAGUGUAGAGGUGAAAUUCGUAGAUAUUCGGAAGAACACCAGUGGCGAAGGCGGCUCACUGGACUGGUAUUGACGCUGAGGUGCGAAAGCGUGGGGAGCAAACAGGAUUAGAUACCCCUGUAGUCCCUGUCUCUUAUACA
rnacentral:rRNA from 1 species